CUAGCUUUGAAUAUGAUUUUUGUGGUUCAAUUUAUUCCCUCAGUCCCCUUUUCAUAUACAUAUACUUUUAGUUUCCCUGUGUUUUACCUCGUACUUAUGGCUGGUGACCAGUUUGAAACACGGAACACAAAGAGAAAACCAAGGGAAACUUUAAGGUUUUGAUGGCACUAAGUGAUCUACUUUUUGACUUUUUAGAUUAAAGUUUAUCACUGCUAGACCAACAAUUAUUUAUGGGAAAGCUGACAGGAACUUCAUUAUGAUAAUCACUUGUUCGUUAACGGAUCAAAGAUUGAAGAAUCGGGUUUUAGCUACAAUUAUCCCGAACUUACAGGGGAAGUGCUUAGAGAGAUUCUUGAUGACUAUGUUGAAACAGGGUUAUUUCCACCUUCGCUGGUCCAUGCAAGAUGAUGACGACAUGAUGGCUAUUCGCUAAAUUAUAUUUUUCUUCAUGCGACUUCUGAUUAUCCAGAGGGAAACCUAGAAAAAAAAGAUUAUUUGAAUCCCAAUAACCUCGCUAGGGAAUCUGAUGUUGAUGCCAACUAACUAAUAACUAAAGGUUCUUCCCCUGAAUCGAGAAUGCCUUUACCUAACAUGAAAGAGUGUCAUUGGCGGCAAAUCUUCUUUUGCCGCGAUGUUUCGAGAAUUCA